rnacentral:rRNA from 1 species
UACGUAGGGGGCAAGCGUUGUCCGGAAUCAUUGGGCGUAAAGCGCGUGUAGGCGGCCCGAUAAGUCCGCUGUGAAAGUCCAGGGCUCAACCCUGGGAUGCCGGUGGAUACUGUCGGGCUCGAGUCCGGAAGAGGCGAGUGGAAUUCCUGGUGUAGCGGUGAAAUGCGCAGAUAUCAGGAGGAACACCAAUGGCGAAGGCAGCUCGCUGGGACGUGACUGACGCUGAGACGCGAAAGCCAGGGGAGCGAACGGGG